CUGAUGGGUGCACAGUAGCUCUCUGCAGCCUGAUUUUUAUUCCACUAAGGAUCACAGGAUAAAGCAGCCCAAAAGAGUGUGGAAGGAGCCAAAAGAGGGAAUAGGGUGUCUGACACUUGUCUUCUCACCCUGAGGGGAGAUAUAAUUCCUUCCUUGAGGGAACUGCAACUGCGCACAUUGUGAUGCUGAAACCUCCAUGACCUGAUGACCAGGAACAAGUAAAUCCUCACAAUCUUUGCCGUUAAGGAGACAUCCCUGCAAGACAAUUUCUCCUCACCUUUAAGGAAGAAGUCACAGAUCCCACAGAGGAUGCAUUGGCAAGAGUGCCUCUUGCACCCUCCACCAGCCCAGAUACUGACACCUCGGUGGAUAUGUUAGCUUGAUUAGAGUCAGGAGCACACCACUGCCAUGCCACCUUGGAUUAUCAAGCAAGAAAUGCUCAAGGUCAUUGUCACCCAGAGGAUUGCUGGAGGCUGCUGGCCAAACAGACACCGUGACAGGAAUCUGCAGCAAGGAAUGUUGUGGGUAGACUGGAGCAAAUAGGAAGGAGGAAAAGUCUCUGUAAUCAAAUCUGGUGGAAAGUAACCAUCAGGAUUCGAGAAGAUUAUCAGCUCAUCUCUCUGACGUGGAAAUCACCGUGGCUGGAAUCCUUGUGAUGUUGCUUCAUCUAUGAAGACAAUGUAAAAAGAGACAGCAUUUACUAUGUCAUCAGCAAGUGCAGCAAGAACAGCAACCAGCAGUGACUGCCACACAGCCUCCUGAGAGAAAAAAAGCAGCAGGUGAGGUCCACCAAGCAGCUGGUGGAGAAUGGUGUGCCCCUGCAGUUACAGGCUUCAAUACCAUUGUCCAAAGCACUCAGAAACACACAGAAUAAGGGUGUCCCAGACCAUCAUUACUGAACUGGAUCAUGGGUUGCAGCAGGAGAUUAGCAUUAAUGGACAUUUUGGUUGGCAUGAGUCAAGAAUGUGGUGCUGGAAAAGUACAACAAGUCAGGCAGCA